rnacentral:ncRNA from 1 species
UGUUUAAUUAAAACAAAGCAUUGUGAUGGCCGGAGACGGUGUUGACACAAUGU